UAGGGAAUCUUCGGCAAUGGACGGAAGUCUGACCGAGCAACGCCGCGUGAGUGAAGAAGGUUUUCGGAUCGUAAAGCUCUGUUGUUAGAGAAGAACGUUGGUAGGAGUGGAAAAUCUACCAAGUGACGGUAACUAACCAGAAAGGGACGGCUAACUACGUGCCAGCAGCCGCGGUAAUACGUAGGUCCCGAGCGUUGUCCGGAUUUAUUGGGCGUAAAGCGAGCGCAGGCGGUUCUUUAAGUCUGAAGUUAAAGGCAGUGGCUUAACCAUUGUAAGCUUUGGAAACUGGAGGACUUGAGUGCAGAAGGGGGGAGUGGAAUUCCAUGUGUAGCGGUGAAAUGCGUAGAUAUAUGGAGGAACACUGGUGGCGAAAGCGGCUCUCUGGUCUGUAACUGACGCUGAGGCUCGAAAGCGUGGGGAGCAAACAGG
rnacentral:rRNA from 1 species